CCAUGAUGAAGAAGUUAAGGCAACUUAGAAUGAACACGAGAAUGAGAGAGAGAGGGGGGGCCAGUAUGCUGCCCGAUAAAAUAGAGAGAAAGCGAGAAAUUAAUUAAAAAUAGUAGCCAUUUAAAGAUGAUUUUGCAAAAACCUUCUUUGUUUCGAAGUAUUUAAACACAGUUUUGCAAAAACCGUCUUUGAAAUAUUCAUAAUAUUUACAA
rnacentral:lncRNA from 1 species